rnacentral:rRNA from 1 species
ACUCCUACGGGAGGCAGCAGUGGGGAAUUUUGGACAAUGGGCGAAAGCCUGAUCCAGCAAUGCCGCGUGAGUGAAGAAGGCCUUCGGGUUGUAAAGCUCUUUUGUCAGGGAAGAAACGGUGAAAGCUAAUAUCUUUUGCUAAUGACGGUACCUGAAGAAUAAGCACCGGCUAACUACGUGCCAGCAGCCGCGGUAAUACGUAGGGUGCAAGCGUUAAUCGGAAUUACUGGGCGUAAAGCGUGCGCAGGCGGUUUUGUAAGUCUGAUGUGAAAUCCCCGGGCUCAACCUGGGAAUUGCAUUGGAGACUGCAAGGCUAGAAUCUGGCAGAGGGGGGUAGAAUUCCACGUGUAGCAGUGAAAUGCGUAGAUAUGUGGAGGAACACCGAUGGCGAAGGCAGCCCCCUGGGUCAAGAUUGACGCUCAUGCACGAAAGCGUGGGGAGCAAACAGGAUUAGAAACCCCGGUAGUCCCAU